ACUCCUACGGGAGGCAGCAGUAAGGAAUAUUGCGCAAUGGGCGAAAGCCUGACGCAGCGACGCCGCGUGGGGGAUGAAGGUCCUCGGAUUGUAAACCCCUUUCGGGAGGGAAGAUGGAGCGAGCAAUCGUUCGGACGGUACCUCCAGAAGCAGCCACGGCUAACUUCGUGCCAGCAGCCGCGGUAAUACGAAGGUGGCAAGCGUUGUUCGGAUUUACUGGGCGUACAGGGAGCGUAGGCGGUUCGGUAAGCCCUCUGUGAAAUCUCCAGGCUUAACCUGGAACAGUCGGAGGGGACUGCCGGGCUAGAGGACGGGAGAGGAGCGCGGAAUUCCCG
rnacentral:rRNA from 1 species